GAUGAACGCUGGCGGCGUGCCUAAUACAUGCAAGUCGAGCGAACGGACGAGAAGCUUGCUUUUCUGAUGUUAGCGGCGGACGGGUGAGUAACACGUGGAUAACCUACCUAUAAGACUGGGAUAACUUCGGGAAACCGGAGCUAAUACCGGAUAAUAUUUUGAACCGCAUGGUUCAAAAGUGAAAGACGGUCUUGCUGUCACUUAUAGAUGGAUCCGCGCUGCAUUAGCUAGUUGGUAAGGUAACGGCUUACCAAGGCAACGAUGCAUAGCCGACCUGAGAGGGUGAUCGGCCACACUGGAACUGAGACACGGUCCAGACUCCUACGGGAGGCAGCAGUAGGGAAUCUUCCGCAAUGGGCGAAAGCCUGACGGAGCAACGCCGCGUGAGUGAUGAAGGUCUUCGGAUCGUAAAACUCUGUUAUUAGGGAAGAACAUAUCUGUAAGUAACUGUGCACAUCUUGACGGUACCUAAUCAGAAAGCCACGGCUAACUACGUG
rnacentral:rRNA from 1 species